rnacentral:rRNA from 2 species
UAAACGACUCUCGGCAACGGAUAUCUCGGCUCUCGCAUCGAUGAAGAACGUAGCGAAAUGCGAUACUUGGUGUGAAUUGCAGAAUCCCGUGAACCAUCGAGUCUUUGAACGCAAGUUGCGCCCGAAGCCUUCUGGUUGAGGGCACGUCUGCCUGGGCGUCACGC